rnacentral:misc_RNA from 1 species
GGACAAGCAAGCUAAUACCCCAACUCUGAUAAGAAAUAUGCUGAUAGAAAUUUAAGGUGCCGUGAACUCUACCAACUAACGAUAGCUAAUGAAAAGCGUAUUCUUAAUAUGAAAAACUCUUGCUAGACUUCCAAAACUGGUACAUAUCAGAUCUAAAAUUAAUUAAACUCUGGAUAGGACACACCGUUUUACAACUACCCUUUUUCAAAAAAA